rnacentral:rRNA from 1 species
UUUAUAUAGGUGAAACUGCGAAUGGCUCAUUAAAUCAGUUAUAAUUUAUUUGAUAGUACCUUACUACUUGGAUAACCGUGGUAAUUCUAGAGCUAAUACAUGCUAAAUCUCCCGACUUCCGGAAGGGAGAGUAUUUAUUAGAUAAAAAACCAAUACCGGGCAACCGGUCCAAUGGUGAUUCAUAAUAACUUUUCGAAUCGUACGGCUCUACGCCGACGAUGAAUCAUUCAAAUUUCUGCCCUAUCAACUUUCGAUGGUAGGAUAGAGGCCUACCAUGGUGGUAACGGGUAACGGGGUGUUAGGGCACGACACCGGAGAGGGAGCCUGAGAAACGGCUACCACAUCCAAGGAUGGCAGCAGGCGCGCAAAUUACCCAAUCCCGACACGGGGAGGUAGUGACAAUAAAUAACAAUACGGGGUCCUUUGGGUCUCGUAAUUGGAAUGAGUACAAUUUAAAUCUCUUAACGAGGAACAAUUGGAGGGCAAGUCUGGUGCCAGCAGCCGCGGUAAUUCCAGCUCCAAUAGCGUAUAUUAAAGUUGUUGCAGUUAAAAAGCUCGUAGUUGAAUUUCGGGGUCGGUAGGUUGGUCAUGCCAUCGGUAUGCACUGGUCUCACCGAUUCCUCCCUCUUGUAGAAGCGUAAUGCCAUUAAUUUGGUGUUGCGGGGAAACAGGACUGUUACUUUGAAAAAAUUAGAGUGUUUAAAGCAGGCUAACGCCUGAAUACAUUAGCAUGGAAUAAUGAAAUAGGACGUCGAUCCUAUUUUGUUGGCUUCUAGGGUUGACGUAAUGAUUAAUAGGGAUAGUUGGGGGCAUUAGUAUUCAAUUGUCAGAGGUGAAAUUCUUGGAUUUAUUGAAGACUAACUACUGCGAAAGCAUUUGCCAAGGAUGUUUUCAUUAAUCAAGAACGAAAGUUAGGGGAUCGAAGACGAUCAGAACCGUC